ensembl:lncRNA
CACCGUUGAACGCGUGGGAGAGACUCCUAUCUCAUUAUAUUCGACAACUUCAUCCGGUACAAGAGGCAUUUCUUGUUUGAGACUGUAGUUAUUUCAACUUCUUGAGGAGCAGGCAUGGAUACAGCGCGAGCAGCUAGGACGCAUAUUAUCUGGACAUCGAUAGCUUUGGUCUUUAUUUUAAUCGCAUCGUGCUUGGCAUAUGUCUUCAUAUCGAAGGUGCCUGAAUGCCAAAGUAAGAACAUCGUGAAUGUCACUGAAUGUACAGAAAGUAUGUUCAGACAUCAAAUCUCUCAAGAACACUGGCUUCUAAAAGCUCAGAACUACAGUCAGGCAGAUCAUCGUUUGGUCUGGGAGGAUGAGUGGCUGGGAUACAGGGUUGAGAGAGAGCGUAUUCUGGACCAGACCAACAUGUGGAUGGUCAUUCGAGAGAAAGGUGUCUACCUGGUCUACAUACAAGCUAACUUCAUUCUUAGGACAGAGAAGAAUAGCAGCUCUACUGUAGAACUGAAAAUUAUAGUGGAUUUAAGUUAUGACGGGAAGAAGGAGAUGUUUUCAGCCGCACAUGACACUCAGGUGGUGAGUGACAACUCUCCAGAUGCAAAGCUCAACACGUUCCUUCUGAUGAAACUGCAAUCAACAAGCCAGUUAUCAGUGAGAGUUUUUCCAAGUCAUUUGGUGAACUACCAACCCAGACCCUUCUCCACUUUUAUCACUAUCAUAAAAUGGGCAGACAACUGGUAGACUGUUGCAUAUAUUGCAGGAGUGAUUGGCUUUCCAGGUGAAAACCAUAUCCAUAUCCAGUUCUUACAAUUACGGUUGUUCUUAUAUUCUUGUUAGCUUUAAAUGUGACAUUUUGAGUGGACGCGGUCUCAAGAUCAGCUGCUAGAACACCUGAGAUUUUCCAGCUGUUGUACUAGGAAAUGCUCGCUGACAUUAACAAGGAUUGCGUGGGGGGUUGUGAUACUUUCUUGGUGUUUUUCUUCUUCCUUUCGAAAUAUGAAGAUCACAUCUCAUGAUCUUCUCAGAAGCAUGACACAUUUUCCUCUCAACAGAUAUAUGA